rnacentral:rRNA from 1 species
CGAACGCUGGCGGCGUGCUUAACACAUGCAAGUCGAACGGAAAGGCCCUGCUUUUGUGGGGUGCUCGAGUGGCGAACGGGUGAGUAACACGUGAGUAACCUGCCCUUGACUUUGGGAUAACUUCAGGAAACUGGGGCUAAUACCGGAUAGGAGCUCCUGCUGCAUGGUGGGGGUUGGAAAGUUUCGGCGGUUGGGGAUGGACUCGCGGCUUAUCAGCUUGUUGGUGGGGUAGUGGCUUACCAAGGCUUUGACGGGUAGCCGGCCUGAGAGGGUGACCGGCCACAUUGGGACUGAGAUACGGCCCAGACUCCUACGGGAGGCAGCAGUGGGGAAUAUUGCACAAUGGGCGGAAGCCUGAUGCAGCAACGCCGCGUGCGGGAUGACGGCCUUCGGGUUGUAAACCGCUUUCGCCUGUGACGAAGCGUGAGUGACGGUAAUGGGUAAAGAAGCACCGGCUAACUACGUGCCAGCAGCCGCGGUGAUACGUAGGGUGCGAGCGUUGUCCGGAUUUAUUGGGCGUAAAGGGCUCGUAGGUGGUUGAUCGCGUCGGAAGUGUAAUCUUGGGGCUUAACCCUGAGCGUGCUUUCGAUACGGGUUGACUUGAGGAAGGUAGGGGAGAAUGGAAUUCCUGGUGGAGCGGUGGAAUGCGCAGAUAUCAGGAGGAACACCAGUGGCGAAGGCGGUUCUCUGGGCCUUUCCUGACGCUGAGGA